UACAGAGGUCCCAAGCGUUGUUCGGAUUCACUGGGCGUAAAGGGUGCGUAGGCGGUCGGGUAAGUCUGAUGUGAAAUCUCACAGCUUAACUGUGAAACUGCAUUGGAUACUAUUCGGCUUGAGAGUUGGAGGGGGGACUGGAAUUCUUGGUGUAGCAGUGAAAUGCGUAGAUAUCAAGUGGAACACCAGUGGCGAAGGCGAGUCUCUGGACAUUUCCUGACGCUGAGGCACGAAAGCCAGGGGAGCAAACGGG
rnacentral:rRNA from 1 species